CGGGAUGUAGCGCAGCUUGGUAGCGCACCUCGUUCGGGACGAGGGGGUCGCAGGUUCGAAUCCUGUCAUCCCGACC
rnacentral:tRNA from 1 species